rnacentral:lncRNA from 1 species
GCAAAUCAUGAAUGCAAGGAGGGAAAGCAAAGAGAGAAAUCUAACAUGAAGAAUUCAAGAGAAUAGAAAUUGUUGGACACUUUUGGAGCACUUAAUGGAGUCUAUUUCAAGCAUACUAUAUGUUUUUUUAAAGUUCGGGAAGUUAGCAAUCCAACGCUUCAAACAGUGCAUGAAUCAAAGUUGAAAUGAAGAAGUUAUGGCCAUUGGAAGCCAAUCACACCAAGCUGAAGGCCAAUUUCGCA